ACUCCUACGGGAGGCAGCAGUGGGGAAUAUUGCACAAUGGGGGAAACCCUGAUGCAGCCAUGCCGCGUGUGUGAAGAAGGCCUUCGGGUUGUAAAGCACUUUCAGUAGGGAGGAAGGUAGUGUAGUUAACACCUGCUAUUAUUUGUACGUUACCUACAGAAGAAGCACCGGCUAACUCCGUGCCAGCAGCCGCGGUAAGUACGGAGGGUGCGAGCGUUAAUCGGAAUUACGUGGGCGUAAAGCGCAUGCAGGCGGCCUGUUAAGUCAGAUGUGAAAGCCCGGGGUCUUAACCUCGGAAUUGCAUUUGAAACUGGCAGGCUAGAGUCUUGUAGAGGGGUUAGAAUUUCGAGGUGUAGCGGUGAAAUGCGUAGAGAUCGUGAAGGAAUACCGAGUGGCGAAGGCGG
rnacentral:rRNA from 1 species